rnacentral:misc_RNA from 1 species
UUAGUAUGUUAAAGAAAAGCAUCAUUUCCUAUAAAGUUAGGCGAACAAAUAUUAUAUUAAUUGUGUAGAAAUUUUGAUAUCACGAUAUCCUUUUGAUACAAGAAAGGAAGACAGAGAGUUGUUACAAGUAGAUGCUGUUUAUAGUUGCAUCGAUAAAAACUAGUAUUUGGUUUUCUUUAAUAAUCAAGAAGAAGAUUUUAGACUUAUUAAGUAUAAAUUUUAAUUAGCCAUAUUGUUUAUCCUUUAUGAGAAUCAUGAUAAUCGUAAUAGGAACUAUGAUGAACCGCAUAAAAUAAAAACUCGUUUACUUAAUAUUUUAAUAAAAGCUAUUACUGAUUUUUCUUUGGGUGUUAUGAAAUGUGAAAUUGUGGCAUGGAUACUUUACGAAAGUUUUUUAUACCUGUGGUUUUUUGUCUCAAAGAAUUUCAAUAAUGGUGCAGCCCCUGCUACUGCUUCUUCCACUAAAAUUAAUAACAAAUUUUGAUUUUAUUAAUGCACUGUGUAUGACAAGACAUGUUUUUAAAAUAACUUUUAUAAUUACACAAUUUUGCAAGCAAGUAAUGAUGAUAAUUUUUAUAGUUUAAAUCUUAUUGAAGCAUUAAAAGUUUUUGUCUCUAUAGUUAGUAAUACUAUUAAUCAACACCUUCAAAUAUGCUUUAAACAAGCCUAAAAAUUGCAUUUCAAAUUAUUUUAACUUGGUUAUCGCUGUUUCUUGCUAGACUUUCUAAGUUUUAUCUAGAUUACUCAGUUUAACACAAUGUUUGAUUGAUACAAUUUUGAAGUGUUAUAAGUACCUGUGUUUUAAUUUCUUCUUUCUAAUAUUCAGUUUCUUGGGUAGGUACAAUCGGCGGGGCGGGGCGGAUCGGCGGGGCGGAUCAUUUGUUUAUUCAGCAUUGUUACUCGUGAAUUUCUUCAAACGAAUUCAUCUUCAGCAAACGUGGUUUAAGAAAAAAUGGCUAUUCCAGCUUUGAUCAGUUUAAAUCAUCUCAACAUUGAGGUUAUUAAAGAUCUUAUUACCAAGAGUGAUGAUGAAAUUAGAGCAACUGCUCUUAACAAUCCCAAGGCCGGUGAAGUUUAUGUCGUCCAAGUGAAUAAUGGGAAAGAUGAUUGGCGAGCAGAUGGGUAUAGGUGGAAGCAAAAUGGACGCAGUAAAAUUCCUCGUGGUUUACCACUGUACACAAAACUCCACUUUGCUACAGUUACACCAACAGGAACUUCAUGUGUUUUUCAGAAAUUUGUAUACCGUGAUCUAAGUCGGACAGAUGUUGUUGUUGUCCAUUAUAUAGGAAACCAUGAACUUGCAAUCUUAAUGCCUCAUGGAAAUUGCAGAAAAUCAAUAAGUUUUUUACCAACAGCUCCAUCUUUGCGAGAUGCAAUUAUUGAUUCUGACAACUACAAGGAUCUUCUUGUUGAUACCAAGCAUAACCAGAUCCAAUUUCAGCCUAGAAACUCAAGACAGUUGAAGUAUGUGCGUAGUGUCAAAGCAGAAUGUACUAAACUAGGCACUGAAUCUUUUUUAACAAUUCAUGAACUGGCAUAUAUGAUACCAGGUUUUGUCUGGUCCAUAUCCACGUAUCCAGACUUGUCAGUGUUGUUUGGAAUGCAAAAUUUAAUCGAUGAACUUGUGAUGUGCCCUCAAAUUUUCUUUUCAUAUGACACAACAUUUAAUUUAGGAGACUUUAAAUCUAAAAGUUAAAAUUGAUACAUUAAGGCUUUCUUGGAGUGAGGCAUUCUCAGUGUAUUUUUCAGACUACUUGUAUUCACGUAUUUUAAUAGCUUAUAUUGGUCAUCUCAGAUCUGUUGGUUUAAUGGAUAAUAUAGUUACAAAUAAUGUAUCUGAAUCAUUAAAUGCAUUUAUAAAAAAGUUUCAAGAAUGGAAAGAAGCGCCUGUUGAUUCUAUGAUUGUUGCAAUGCAUCGCCUUCAGACCUUUUAUUUGACAGAAAUUAAGCGGAGUUGUAGUGGCUUUGGACCCUACACUCUCUUUGACAGCAGUCUCCUAAUCAAUAACACAGACGACAUACCAAAAGUAGAUAGUCCAGAACUUGUUAUUGCAGAGCUGCAAGCAGCUGCAAAUAUACCAAUGCAGCAAUGCAUACCUCCAUCUAUACGAGUGCUUUCUAACACGUUUAAUGUUGUUCAUAUUCCAAACCUAAAGGUUUUUACAGUCUCUGCACCUGAUGGAAAUGCGCAUGUUGUGAAGUUGUAUCCGAAGGAAAACUGCACAUGUCCUUCAUCAACAAUAUGUUGUCACAUACUAGCUGUUAAACGCAGCAUUGGAAUUGAAUGUGGUGAACGCAAAAUCAUAAAUUUGACCAAAUUGCGGCGUAACUCAUGGUACAUCAAAUUACUCUGGGGUGCCUAAUAAACUAGGGAAAAUAUUAAUAUUUGGGGAAACUUUUUAGGAAAAUAAGCUAAGAAUCUACAAAAUUAAUAAACAUGAAGGGGUUAUAAAUAAGGUCUGGUGAGUUAGGUAAAAAAGUUAAAUAAAUUUUAAAUAUUUGGCAACUCAGAGUACAGUGCUAAUUGUUCAAAAAUGUACAGAUCGAAUAUAAAUUCUAAUCCUUAGUAGCAUUCUGGGUUAUAUAUGUUUCAAACAAAUGUGAUUUAUCUUAAUAUAUAACUUUAUUAUAUAAGUAAGUGAUCAAGGUUCUUCUUAAUAUUAUCUUAAUAUGGAUUUUUAGCGACCUCAUCA